UUUUUCAAUCAGGUGCAAGGUCUAAAAUAACUCAUAAAUUGGAGUGUUGUCUAUCAGCUUCAUCUUGUGUUAUUGGUCGAGACUGGAGUUAAACAACAGCACUACAUCU